rnacentral:rRNA from 1 species
CCUACGGGGGGCAGCAGUGGGGAAUAUUGGACAAUGGGGGCAACCCUGAUCCAGCCAUGCCGCGUGUGUGAAGAAGGCCCUCGGGUUGUAAAGCACUUUCAGUGAGGAAGAACGCCUGGUGGUUAAUACCCAUCAGGAAAGACAUCACUCACAGAAGAAGCACCGGCUAACUCCGUGCCAGCAGCCGCGGUAAUACGGAGGGUGCGAGCGUUAAUCGGAAUUACUGGGCGUAAAGCGCGCGUAGGUGGCUUGAUAAGCCGGUUGUGAAAGCCCCGGGCUCAACCUGGGAACGGCAUCCGGAACUGUCAAGCUAGAGUGCAGGAGAGGAAGGUAGAAUUCUCGGUGUAGCGGUGAAAUGCGUAGAGAUCGGGAGGAAUACCAGUGGCGAAGGCGGCCUUCUGGACUGACACUGACACUGAGGUGCGAAAGCGUGGGUAGCAAACAGGAUUAGAUACCCUAGUAGUC